UAUUAAAAGUUUCAUCUAUUUUUACUAUUAAAAAUUGGUUUGGUUGACAGAACAAUUAGAUAGGUACACGUGUAGAGCCAAUUUUUAAUAGUAGAAAUUAAUGAAAUUUUUAACA
rfam:Gossypium arboreum cultivar AKA8401 contig_3124_3, whole genome shotgun sequence.